rnacentral:rRNA from 1 species
GACGAACGCUGGCGGCGUGCUUAACACAUGCAAGUCGAGCGGUAAGGCCCUUCGGGGUACACGAGCGGCGAACGGGUGAGUAACACGUGAGUAAUCUGCCCAUCACUUCGGGAUAACUCCGGGAAACCGGUGCUAAUACUGAAUAUGACCACUUCAGGCAUCUGAUGGUGGUGGAAAGUUCCGGCGGUGAUGGAUGAGCUCGCGGCCUAUCAGCUUGUUGGUGGGGUAGUGGCCUACCAAGGCUUCGACGGGUAGCCGGCCUGAGAGGGUGACCGGCCACACUGGGACUGAGACACGGCCCAGACUCCUACGGGAGGCAGCAGUGGGGAAUAUUGGACAAUGGGCGAAAGCCUGAUCCAGCAACGCCGCGUGAGGGAUGACGGCCUUCGGGUUGUAAACCUCUUUCAGCAGGGACGAAGCGCAAGUGACGGUACCUGCAGAAGAAGCACCGGCCAACUACGUG